CAGUAGCCGCGGUAAUACAGAGGGUGCGAGCGUUAAUCGGAUUUACUGGGCGUAAAGCGUGCGUAGGCGGCUUCUUAAGUCGGGUGUGAAAUCCCUGAGCUUAACUUAGGAAUUGCAUUCGAUACUGGGAAGCUAGAGUAUGGGAGAGGAUGGUAGAAUUCCAGGUGUAGCGGUGAAAUGCGUAGAGAUCUGGAGGAAUACCGAUGGCGAAGGCAGCCAUCUGGCCUAAUACUGACGCUGAGGUACGAAAGCAUGGGGAGCAAACAGGAUUAGAGACCCCUGUAGUCCCUGUCUCUUAUAC
rnacentral:rRNA from 1 species